UAAUCUUCAAUUUAUUUCCAAGAAAUUAAAAAGCUAUUUACAUCACAGAUAUUUACAAGAUGCCAUCUGAAUUGCUAUUAACAUGCACAGAGUGAGAAGCCUUUCAAUGAACUGCUAUUGUGAAAUGCACUUACAGAGUUUAUUAACAUUUGGACAGAAGUGGCAGCAAAGACCACCCGUAAGUGAAGGAUUCACCCAUCAGUUUAGCUUGGCACAGGUUUAGGACAAAGAAAAAUGUAUAACAUAUAUAGUUAAUCGAUG